rnacentral:misc_RNA from 1 species
CGCAACAAUCCCAGUCGCAGCAUCCACAGAUGCAGAGAAAAAUGAUGAUGAGCCUUAAUAAUGUAGGUAUGGGGAACAUUAGCAAUAACAUCGCGGCGCUUGGUGGCCUUAGUAAUGUUAUGGGCAUGGGAGGUGUAAGAGGAGUUGGUGGACCUGGAAUUUCAGCUCCAAUGGGAGCCAUCGCUGGCAUGGGCAAUAUAUCUCAAAACACAAUAAAUAUAAGCCAGGCUUCUAAUAUUAGUAACGCAAUCAGCCAGCAACUUCGUAGUGGUGCACUCACUCCACAACAAGCUGUUUUCAUGCAAACCAAACUGAGAAUGGCAGCACAGAACCGAACAAAUAUUUUGGGGAGCCAACAGUCAAGCUUAGGUGGUAUUACAGGAAAUAGACAAAUGCAUCCAGGCUCUACCGGUCUUUCAAUCUUGGGUUCCCUCAACCGAGGUAAUAUCAAUCCAAUGCAGCGACCAGGAAUGGGUCCAAUGGGUCCGCCAAAGCUAAUGGCUGGUAUGAAUCUUUACAUGAAUCAGCAGCAACAACAG